rnacentral:lncRNA from 1 species
AUAAUGGGGUCUUUGACAUUUCAUAUCACUCCAUUUCUACUCUGGAAAUUUGAGAUUCAUUUGGGGGAAAGAGCGUCAUUCUGUUUGUUUCUGUGGUUUGAUUUUAGCCCGUGGGAUGGUUUGCUCUAGUCUGUCCUGCCUGUGUUUGGGUGGCUCUCCCUUAGGACACCUACCUGCCCGUUUCCGUUUAGAGCAGUUACCUGAUGAAUUUGACCUACCUUGUGCCAUUGUAGAGGGUGGGUGGGCUGAGGCUGCAUGGACCCAUGAGGCCAGGGGGCAUUGGGACAAGAGACCCUGGGAGCCUUCCAGCCGUCAGGCUGCACGCACGUACCUGCUCUAGCUUGCUGGGUUUGUUGUUUGUUUCUUUAUGUAGACUUUGUCCUUGGCGUAAUUUCCCACUCUAGUAAAACAAGUCUCCUAAAUAUUGUGUAUGCUUAAAGCAACAGAUCCCUCCCUCCUGGGAAACAGAUCCAGGCCUCUGUCACGCCUUUUCAGACCAAGGUCAUAAAUCUCUCUCUCCCAGAACCUGGGGAAUCAUAGAGGUCAGCUCUGGCCUCUGACUGGCUAUCUGUAUGGCACACUCGCAGCAAGAGCUGGUGGAGAGAUGUUGCCAGUUAACUUGAGGGUCUUGGGAGUAAGACCCUGCAGCCAAGUAUCAAGCAUUCAGGCCAUUUUAUGAUUCUCAAGAGGUUUCUCUGGAUUUUCAGAAUGACGUCCCACACUAAUCCUGACUUAUGUCACAUAGCAAGUAAACUAAGAGGGAAGGGUGAGGAGAAGUGGGGAGGCCAGCAGCCCAGCCCACACUCAGGAUCACCGCUCACCUUUCCAGAGCAUUCUGGACUGAGCUGAGCAACAGGCAGAGGGCGUUAGCCUCAUUGUGAGGUUUUUUUUUCCCUGAUGUCAUCAUCAUAACGUUAUUUAUUUAAAUGUAGUUAUUUUGGUAUUUAAUUUUUUUUAAGAGAGGGGGGGAAACCCUGUAUUUUCCUGGUAGAAUGAAAUGGCUCAGAAUGGUAUAUUUAGGCAAUUUAAAACAUUAUUUACAUAAAGACCAAAUAUGAUAAGUCUGUUCUAAGUAUUGCUUCACCCACAGUAUGGAGCUGUCACAAUGUUACUGCAGAUGAUGCGUGUUGACAUGGAGUUACUGCACCCAAGCUGGAUUUAUAUAACUCAGCCACUUAAACAAUAAAGGUGAGACAUGAUGCGAGUGAGAACAUGUGUGUGCCCACCGCAGUCUGCCUCCUCCAUCGUUUCUGCAGGUAACCUCGGAAUGUCUGUCUCGUAAAGGUUUGCAGUUUGCAGAGUACUUUAAUUUGGGUUAUAUUGUGCCCAGCAUGUGCAUCCAGACUAUGGGCCUCAGUUAACGUGGUACACUGGCAGGCCGCUGCCCUAGUCAAGGGUGGGCUCAGGUACCACCAACUGGACAUACUGUGUAUCUGGAGAUGUGUGUGUAUAGCAUGCUUGCCCAGGACUUGUUCCCUAUGAGUGAGAUCUGCAAACUCGUUACCUCUGAGCCCCAAACAGACCUUAUGGGUCUGUAGGAGUUUCUUUUGGGGAUCAUAGAAAACAUUUAAAGAUGGAAGGAGGAUUUUUUUUUUUUCUUUAAGGCCACCUUCUCAGUCUCGCGUGAGUGAAGUGUGCCAAUAGGCACACACCCAUCUUUUCUCCUUGCUGCUGUAUCGGCCUUGCUGCUGCUUUGGUCCAUAGGAAUGUAACGCUGCCAAGGAGAGGGCAGAAGCUGGACCCUUAGGUUAUUAACUGAGUACUAAACCCAGGGUUUCUUCCCAGUGUUGAAGGCACUACUUUAGUUUUAUGUUCAUCUAAGUUCCCAGAAGCCCCUCCAUACACCAGAGCUGGGCUCACGUGCUUUGGCCCUCAGCAGAGGUCUGAUGUGGGAACGUACUAUCCUGACACAAGGAGCUCACAGCAGUCCCCAGUGCCUGUGGCACCACUGCUAAAUGCUUAUGGAGUCUCACUUUGACCUUUACCAAACUUCUGAGCUCCCUCAGGAACGAGAUAACUUCAGCAGCGUAGGCUUGAACCACACCGACCACAAAGGGAAGCUCACCUGUGUCCUGGGUACGGUGCAUUCCAGAAUGUGUGUGGCAUAACAUUGUAUAGCUAUUUCCCACACUGUAGAAUGUGUUCACAGACAGCAGCUGGUCUCCGUAAAUACCCCACCCCACUUCCUUGUCCUCUGCUGGGGAGCUGGUCACAGAGUAGCCGUAGUAGUUCAGAAGGGGUCGGGGAGCAUCAGGACUUGGGUUUUCUAUGCUGUGUGACACAAGGAGAGAAGUGACAAUCGUGAAGGCCAAGCAUCUGCAGCUCAGAGGAAGCAGAGUGCUGAUCUGUGUGCAAAGAUUUGGAAUUUUUAAAAAGUACCAAGUUCCUGAAAUUCAAUAAAAUAUUUUUAUUAAUUUU